GACAAUAUAAAAAGGAGAAACAGAUAAGAAUAAGCAUUCGUCUCCUUUAUUUUUUGACUGCUGAUGUGUGUCCAGCUGCCUUACUCUUCUGCUACCAGGACUUCCCUGCUGUGAUGGACUGUACCCUCAAACUCCGUUGUGUCCUCUCUCAGUGCCUAUGGGAACCACACUGGAAGAAGCUGGAGGGAAUGAGGGGAGAUGGCCACUCUGUGGGUAAGCAGCCAGUCCAUGCAGUCCACAGUCCACUGCUACCCCCAGCUCUGCCAGCGACACCAUCGGUAAACCUUGCCUCAUUCGAAACCGCAGCCUUUGCGCUGUUCAAGGGGGAGUUGGCUAGCUGGCCCUUGCCUGUUUCUGUCCUUGCCACCUUCUCCCUUCCAGAAACCUGCUCCGCUUUGCUUUCUCUUGACCCACAAAAGACAUCACUUCCUGGAAGACUUGGCUGGCGUUAAGCCUCCUGGCGGCUCCUUCCUGGGGCAGAGGGCCAAAAUCCUGACAAGAUUAAGAUGAGGUUUUGGAAUUGGGCCAAACUGGAAAAACAGGAAAGAUGACGAACCAAGCUGCCUCCUUCUGGGGAUUGUUUAUUCCAGUGCUCCCUCAAUUGAGUUCUGUGGGCACUCGCAACCCUUGACAUUUUACCCAGUGCACGCCUCUGGCCUUUUCCUGCCCCCUCCCCCCGCACAUCGCUAGUUAUUGAGACUGUUGGGUGGAUUCACUCCUAGAACUACUUAGCUAACUACACCCAGUCCUAGAAAUCAGGAAGCACACAGAUAUAUCCUGAGUGAGUGUCUACCAUGUUUGAUAGGAGAAGCCAUCUUCUAAAAUGAGCCCCCUGCAACUUCUCAGGGUAAGGAAUGUUCUUCUUUGUUAAAAAAGGAGGAUCAGGGGGACCCCCCAAGGUCCCCAUCAUAUUAGUGUGGCAUCCAGAAAUGAGGAGGGUUGGAAGGAAGAAAGGUGACCUAUCAACUCAGAGCACAGUGUUUCCGGGUCGAUGAGGGUUUCUGCUGUGAUUUCUGACUCUACCACUUACCGCCCCAGGAAUGUGGGCGAGCUCUUAAUAGGAAGCAGUGUAGGGGAGCAUUUUAGAGCACAGGCCCCAGCGUCAAAUGUCAGUUCUGCCAUCUGCUAGUUAUGUGACCUUGGGCAAUUUCCUUUGCCUCUCUGCACUUUGGUUUCCACAGCUAUAAAGCAGUGUAAUAAUAGCGCCUACCUCAUCAACUUGUUGCAAGGAUUAAACGUGAUAAUCCAGGAGGAGCACUUAGCACGCUGUCUGGCUCAUGGUCCUGUGUCAUCCAUGUCAGCUAUGGGGUGAAUGUGGGCCUAGCCGACUCUGGACACCACCUGUUUCCCCGCCUGUCACCCUGGUGGCUCGCUCAGCACUUGGCACACGGUAUACUCACUGCCUUUCUUGGCCACUGAAGGAGUGGUUAGAAGUUGACUCUGUUGCUGAAAACAGGCUUCAGGCGAAUGUGUAGGAGUAGAUUAUGGAGGAGGAGGAUUUUCAAGAGUUUCCCAACCAACAAACAAGUAAUUGCUUUUUGCAUGCUAGUAUAAACUUGAAAAUAUUUCCAGAUGGGAAAUACCCAUUGGAUCCAUAUGCCACACCCGUUUCUGAUUGUAGCCUAUUCAAGCAGAAACACACCUGAAUUCAUACCUAUAGAAGCAAACUGUAUUCACUGAGCUAUUUACACAGUACACAAACCUCAAAGCAGUUUAAAGUCUUAAGUAACCCCAAUUCAGAAGGGUUGCUGAUUGCUUAUCUGAUUCAUGCCCUGCUAAACAUUUCCUAGGCCUCUGUCUCUCACUGUUUAGCUCACUGUGUGUUUGAGACUUCAGGUUCACUAACCGUCUGUACCUUAGGGUAGGCCCCUGUGGGACAGAACACAGAAUUCACAGAACGCGUAAGCAGCAGUUAAAAUUUCACAGUAUGGAUGACUCAUCCGUUCAACACACACUUAGCAUUUGGGGCUUGGGAAACUGGAAAUGACGAACCAAAGUACUACCUGGAUUCUGAGUGAGAUCUGAGACUGAAUCAGCAAAAGACCUUUCUUGCAGAAUGGUUCUAUACCUGUUCACCAAGCCUCCGUGAGAGGACAGGGUGAGUAAUAUGGCCUUAAUUACCAAGAAAUUAGUGUUUUUGCUGCUUAAUUCCUUAUAUGUAGGAGACAGAACAGGAGCCAGACAGGCUGGUUUCUAUGGCUGUGGGGCCAGUCACUUCCCUUUCUUGAUCCUCAGGUUCCUCAUUUGAAGAGUGGAGAGAAUCUUCUUGCUUUAAAAGGCACAUUUUCUCUAUUCAUUCAUAGAAGAUAGUAUUUCCAUAGGGAUGUGUUGCUCUGUGUUGUGGCUCUCUAGGAGAAAAAAAAAAGAAUUGGGGUCAUUUGGUAGAUUAUAUUAUUGCUCAGCAAAUAUUUACUUCACCUAACCCUCCCCACUUCGAGAGGAGUAUACUUCCUCACCCUGUUGAUACUGGACCUAGUCAUGUGACUUGCUUGGGCCAAAAGAAUAUGUGUGGAAGUGGCAGCAGCUAGCUCCUCCAAGUCACUGAGUGUUUCCCUUUCCACCUCUUGAGCAAUUGUCCUUGGCCAUGAGAACACCAGGCAUCAGGGAGUCCUUCAGCUGGACAUACGAUGAACAGACAUGUGAGGCAACUGCGCAUGACCCAAAGCUUGGAGCCCAGCCUGACCCAGCUGACCCACAGACCCCUGGGCUGAGUGUCAAGUGUUGGGGUCUCAGCAGAUACAACAUUCAGUCGGGGCUGCAGCCUGAAGAGCAGAUGGCAUGCCCUGCUGGCCCCAGCUUAUCCAGGCCUCUCCCCAAGAGGAUAUUGAGGUGGGUCAAGCUGACUUCUCGGUUUCAGGCCGAGACCCUUUCUCAGGCUCCUCCGCUGCUCUAAGGGACAGAAUGAUGGGGGAGGUGCCGAGAACCAGAAGUGAAACUUCAGGACAGCCUGGUGAACUCACAUGCACUGUCAUCUCUGAAGCCUGAGAGAAUGCAAGCUCAACUGCUCCAGGAACACUACAGGGCUCUGGGCACAGCACAGCGGCCUCCUGCACUUGCUGUGCGCAGCUGGGCACCAAGACCACCCACUGAUCUUUUCUGCUUCCGCCCAUCCCCCACGUGGAGCAGGUGGCCAGGAAGUCAGGCUAGUUUCGCUCAGGGAGUGUCAGCAACUGUGCGUUGAGCCCGCAGAUGAAUCUCAUUCACUUGGUUGUGGCCCCACCAGGCAGCUUGGCUGUCACAUGUCCCGAGGCAAACUGCUGUCCUCUCUGGGUUUUCCCUUAGUCACCUAUCAGGAGAGGGCAGGGAUGCCUUUGUAGGGUUGUUCUGGUGAGUCAUCUCCUUCCCUCGACCUCCAUCAGGGCUUUUGCCUCUC